rnacentral:rRNA from 1 species
GACGAACGCUGGCGGCGUGCUUAACACAUGCGAGUCGAACGGAAAGGCCCUGCUUUUGUGGGGUGCUCGAGUGGCGAACGGGUGAGUAAUACGUGAGUAACCUGCCCUUGACUUUGGGAUAACUUCAGGAAACUGGGGCUAAUACCGGAUAGGAGCUCCUGCUGCAUGGUGGGGGUUGGAAAGUUUCGGCGGUUGGGGAUGGACUCGCGGCUUAUCAGCUUGUUGGUGGGGUAGUGGCUUACCAAGGCUUUGACGGGUAGCCGGCCUGAGAGGGUGACCGGCCACAUUGGGACUGAGAUACGGCCCAGACUCCUACGGGAGGCAGCAGUGGGGAAUAUUGCACAAUGGGCGGAAGCCUGAUGCAGCAACGCCGCGUGCGGGAUGACGGCCUUCGGGUUGUAAACCGCUUUCGCCUGUGACGAAGCGUGAGUGACGGUAAUGGGUAAAGAAGCACCGGCUAACUACGUG